CCUCCUCGGCAUCCUGCACUAUCUGGCUGCUUGGCUCUUUUGAGGCUCCUGAGGUCAGAGGACCUCAGCAGCAGUGGAGUUCAGGACCUGAGGAUGGGCAAAGCUGGCCCACUGGGGCAAGCAGCCUCCCUCCUGCUUUCAGUUCUCAUUCAGGAUGUGUGCAGGCUGUCAUUCCAUCGGGGCUAACUUAGUAGCUUCAGUUUCCUUGGGUCCAAGGAUUCCAGAAAGUGACUGAUUAAGACAGGGGUUUGGUUAUUUACCACUCGGCAUUCCAGCGUCAGCUGUUCCCAUGCUCGGCUCAGGCACGGGCUCGGAAGGGAAAGAACCAGGGCUCAGGAAACCCCAAGGAAGAGGAGGUGAAGAGAGUGUAAGAGAGAGAGGAGAGAGAGAGCGAGCACUAAGAAAAGAAGUCCCUCCAAAUCAACACGACCAAAGCUCACAUGAACUCACAGAGACUGAAGCAGCCCACACAGGACCUGCCUGGGGCCCACCAGGUCCUCUGCACUUAGAUUAAGGCUUCCGGUUGGUUGUUUUUAGGGGAUUCC